GACGAACGCUGGCGGCGUGCUUAACACAUGCAAGUCGAACGGUGACGCUCCAGCUUGCUGGAGUGAAUCAGUGGCGAACGGGUGAGUGACACGUGAGCAACCGGCCCCAGACUCUGGAAUGAGCGCUGGAAACGGCGUCUAAUACUGGAUACGAUACUGCCCCGCAGGGGCAGCGUUUGGAAAGUGGUUCGGUUUGGGAUGGGCGCGCGGCCUAUCAGCUUGUUGGUGAGGUAGGGGAUCGCCCAGGCGAGGACUGGUAGCCAGCCUGUGAGGGCGAACGGCGUCCCUGGUCCUGCGACACGGAGCAGAGUGCUAUGUGGGGCAGCAGGGGCGAACAUUGCCCAGUGGGCGCGCGCCUGAUGAAGAGGCGUCGCGUGUGUGAUGACGUCUUUCGGGUUGUAAAACGCUUCCGGCUGGGACGCCGCGGUAGUGACGGUACCUGCAGAAGAAGCACCGGCUAACUACGUG
rnacentral:rRNA from 1 species